UCUCCGUAGGUGAACCUGCGGAGGGACCAUUACAGAGUUCUCGCCCUCGCGGGUAGAUCUCCCACCCACUGUUAUCGUUACUGUGUUGCUUUGGCGGGCCGCCGGGCCCCGCUCGGCCGCCGGCUCCGGCUGGCGCGCGCCCGCCAGAGGCCCAGCAAACUCUGAAUGUUAGUGUCGUCUGAGUACUAUAUAAUAGUUAAAACUUUCAACAACGGAUCUCUUGGUUCUGGCAUCGAUGAAGGACGCAGC
rnacentral:misc_RNA from 1 species